rnacentral:rRNA from 1 species
GACGAACGCUGGCGGCGUGCUUAACACAUGCCAGUCGAACGGGAUCCGGGCUUUCGGGUUUGGUGAGAGUGGCGAACGGGUGAGUAACACGUGAGUAACCUGCCCCCUUCUUUGGGAUAACGUCGGGAAAUCGGCGCUAAUACUGGAUAUUCUUGCUGCAUCGCAUGGUGUGGUUUGGAAAGGGUUUCUGGUGGGGGAUGGGCUCGCGGCCUAUCAGCUUGUUGGUGGGGUGAUGGCCUACCAAGGCUUUGACGGGUAGCCGGCCUGAGAGGGUGUCCGGCCACACUGGGACUGAGACACGGCCCAGACUCCUACGGGAGGCAGCAGUGGGGAAGAUUGCACAAUGGGCGCAAGCCUGAUGCAGCGACGCCGCGUGAGGGAUGACGGCCUUCGGGUUGUAAACCUCUUUCAGUAUGGAACAAGGAUCCUUCGUUUGGGGGGUUUGAGGGUACGUGCAGAAGAAGCGCCGGCUAACUACGUG